CAGAGGUCCCAAGCGUUGUUCGGAUUUACUGGGCGUAAAGGGAGCGUAGGUGGCGGGCUAAGUCUAAUGUGAAAGCUCUGAGCUUAACUCAGAAAUGGCAUUGGAUACUAGUUCGCUUGAGGAUUGGAGGGGAGACUGGAAUGCUCGGUGUAGCAGUGAAAUGCGUAGAUAUCGAGCGGAACACCAGUGGCGAAGGCGAGUCUCUGGACAAUUCCUGACACUGAUGCUCGAAAGCUAGGGGAGCAAACGGGAUUAGAUACCCCGGUAGUCCUAGCUGUAAACGGUGCGCGCUUGCUGUAGGUGGAUUCGACCCCGCCUGUAGCGAAGCUAACGCGUUAAGCGCGCCGCCUGGGAAGUACGGUCGCAAGAUUA
rnacentral:rRNA from 1 species